rnacentral:rRNA from 1 species
GGAAAAAGGGGGGGCGGCCUACACAUGCAAGUCGAGCGGAAACGAGUUAACUGAACCUUCGGGGAACGUUAACGGCGUCGAGCGGCGGACGGGUGAGUAAUGCCUGGGAAAUUGCCCUGAUGUGGGGGAUAACCAUUGGAAACGAUGGCUAAUACCGCAUAAUAGCUUCGGCUCAAAGAGGGGGACCUUCGGGCCUCUCGCGUCAGGAUAUGCCCAGGUGGGAUUAGCUAGUUGGUGAGGUAAUGGCUCACCAAGGCGACGAUCCCUAGCUGGUCUGAGAGGAUGAUCAGCCACACUGGAACUGAGACACGGUCCAGACUCCUACGGGAGGCAGCAGUGGGGAAUAUUGCACAAUGGGCGCAAGCCUGAUGCAGCCAUGCCGCGUGUAUGAAGAAGGCCUUCGGGUUGUAAAGUACUUUCAGCAGUGAGGAAGGUGGGUAUGUUAAUAGCAUACACAUUUGACGUUAGCUGCAGAAGAAGCACCGGCUAACUCCGUGCCAGCAGCCGCGGUAAUACGGAGGGUGCGAGCGUUAAUCGGAAUUACUGGGCGUAAAGCGCAUGCAGGUGGCUUGUUAAGUCAGAUGUGAAAGCCCGGGGCUCAACCUCGGAAUUGCAUUUGAAACUGGCAAACUAGAGUACUGUAGAGGGGGGUAGAAUUUCAGGUGUAGCGGUGAAAUGCGUAGAGAUCUGAAGGAAUACCGGUGGCGAAGGCGGCCCCCUGGACAGAUACUGACACUCAGAUGCGAAAGCGUGGGGAGCAAACAGGAUUAGAUACCCUGGUAGUCCACGCCGUAAACGAUGUCUACUUGGAGGUUGUGGCCUUGAGCCGUGGCUUUUCGGAGCUAACGCGUUAAGUAGACCGCCUGGGGGAGUACGGUCGCAAGAUUAAAACUCAAAUGAAUUGACGGGGGCCCGCACAAGCGGUGAAGCAUGUGGUUUAAUUCGAUGCAACGCGAAAGAACCUUACCUACUCUUGGACAUCUACAGAAAGCCAGCGGAAAACCCAGGGUGUGCCUUCCGGAAACUGGAAGAACAGGU